CCAACCAACCAACCCACUAAAACCAACCAACUACCCACCUAACCCAAACCUCGGGCGAAGCCCUUUUAUGAACAGGUCUAAAUUGAGCCGCUUCUGAAAUAAGCAAGAAGAGAAUGUCAAGUCUUAAGUGAAAGCAAGUCCCUGAAGAGUGAUUUGAAGAGGGCACUGCAGAGCAACCAGGAACUGGCAGAAAAGGAAACUGCAUGGUUAUGGAGGAAACUAGGUAAGCAAGAGUUCACGGGAGCAUUUGAGCCAGGCCCUCUUUGGCUGGAGAAGGAUCUGCAUGGAUUCUUUCGUAUGGAUCUCCCAAGAGAAGAAGUUCCAUUACUGGGGCACAGCCACCGAAACAGCAGAGCUCAAGAGGACUUCCUCAGCAUGAUCUGCAUUCUCAAUGAAUUCCUUCCUAUAAAGAUGAGAACCACCCAAACUGCUCAUUUUUUUCGUUUUAAAGAAGAUCUACUCCUGCCUUGCAUUUCUGAUUCAUGACAUCACAAAUACCCAGCAUAAGUCUGCUGCUGAGUGUCCCUGAUUCUCAUUGGCUCCCUGCCAAUAACAAUGCUCUUGGAGUGGGGCAGGAAAGUAACUUUUGUGAGCAUUAAGAGUAAAAAUUGAUUAAUUAUUUUGUCUUGUGUAGGGUGUUUUUUCUUUUCUUUUUCUUUUAACCAAUGAAUUCGCUCCAAAAAUUUAAUGCAUGGUGAAAAAAUAAUUUGGAUUUCCUCUUUGUCAAUAUUUCAUGAAUAAAACUAAUUAGGGGACAAUGUGAGAAUGAGUU